rnacentral:rRNA from 1 species
AGCAGCCGCGGUAAUUCCAGCUCCAAUAGCGUAUAUUAAAGUUGUUGCGGUUAAAACGCUCGUAGUUGAAUUUCGGGACUAACAGAUUGGUCGCGCCUUUGGUGUGUACUGGUCUAGUUGGUUUCUCCCUUCUGACGAACCACGAUGUCAUUAAUUUGGUGUCGUGGGAAAUCAGGACUGUUACUUUGAAAAAAU